UGGGGAAUAUUGCACAAUGGAGGGAACUCUGAUGCAGCGACGCCGCGUGAACGAAGAAGGCUUUCGAGUCGUAAAGUUCUUUUAUAUGGGAAGAUAAUGACGGUACCAUAAGAAAAAGCCCCGGCUAACUACGUGCCAGCAGCCGCGGUAAUACGUAGGGGGCUAGCGUUGUCCGGAAUCACUGGGCGUAAAGGGUUCGCAGGCGGAAAUGCAAGUCAGGUGUAAAAGGCAGUAGCUUAACUACUGUAAGCAUUUGAAACUGCAUAUCUUGAGAAGAGUAGAGGUAAGUGGAAUUUUUAGUGUAGCGGUGAAAUGCGUAGAUAUUUAAAAGAAUACCGGUGGCGAAGGCGGCUUACUGGGCUCAUUCUGACGCUGAGGAACGAAAGCGUGGGUAGCAAACAGG
rnacentral:rRNA from 1 species